CUUGUGUGGCUUAUUACAAAUGGAUGAAACCACAUUUUACCUUAAUGAAGACAGUAAUAUUUAAUAAGGUGUAGAAAAAAAGAGGUGAGUUGUUUGUUGCUGUGGUAAAUAAAGAAGUGUACUGAGUCUUUUGGACUACACAGAGUGAUGUAGUAUUGACUCUGAUGCUGAUUUGAGUUGUCUCAUACUGUAUUUUUGUGCUUUGUCUUUUGUUACACAGAGUGAAAGAGAUCUUUGGUUUUGCCUUUGCUGACUGCUGAUCUGAUCGUCUCAAGUCUGGUGACCUGCUGCAGAAAACCCUCUCCCUCUAUCGUUGACAAGCAAUUAACAAGCAUAUUCAGUCUGUCCUAUCACUCUCCCUCUCCCUGCUCCAUCUUUUUUGACAAGCCAUUCUAUCUUCUAUCAUUUCUCCGCCAUGAGCUCUAUCUAAUUUUGACAAGCUUGAACCUGUGUUGACAAGAAAUCUAAGUUUGACAAGAAAUCUAAGUUUGACAAGAAACCAAGUUUUUGGAAAUUGAAGUUACCACAACUUCGUCGAUCUGUUUUCAGAAUUCUGAGAGAUCUCCGCUCUCACUGCUCCAUCUUUCCUGUCUUUAAACUCUCUCACAUCCACUCAUUUUGCUGGAAAUUACAAGUAAAAAGUUGAAUAUACAGUAAUAGAAUUACAGUACAGUAGAACUCACUGUAGAAACUACUUACAGAGCCCUACAUUUGUCAUUUUAAUUUUGCAUUACACUUUGAAAUAAACACUGAUAGUUUGGCUUACAAGUGCAAUUUGAUAAAUUAUAUAAACUUAUAUACACCUUUUUUGAGAUAUAUUUGUAGUAAGAUAAUCUGGUUAUUUUGUAAUUCAGACUCUUAUAUUCACAUAAAUAUUAAAUUUGAUUCAAAUACAUUUUUCAAGUCUGUUUCAUUGGUUAUAACAUUUGACUACAAGUUUAUACUAUUAUUAUUGAAGGACAAACCCUUUUUUGUCACUCAGUGUAAGUAUUCAAUUAGUUAUCAUCUAGAGGCUCUCCUGAGAACCCAGACUUCCUGUUUCCUGACUGCCGCAGAACAUCCAGCUGAAGAAUCCCCAUCGCCUGUCAUCUGAUCACCACACCAUCACAGCUCCUUAUAUUUGCUUUAAAUUUUAGAUAUCUGAAAGAUUUACACAAAGUCUACUUCAAAGCUAAGAGUUUUAUUAUAGCCUGUUGGUUGAUUAUUGAGAUUUAUUUUGCAUAUUACAUUGCAGAAGAAUAGACCUAUUUGUUAUCCGGUCUGGUUAAAAAAAAAAAAAAAUAGAAAUAAUAUACAGUUUUUGAAAAAGCUACAAUAAAACAGACCAAAGUGUUUUGAAAGAACUUUAAAUAAGUUAAACUAAAUAUUGAGUUUGUAUUUAAGUGAGCCUUUUACAUCAAUUCUGAUAAAGCUCUGAUUUAAGAGAAAG